rnacentral:rRNA from 1 species
UACGUAGGAUGCUAGCGUUGUCCGGAUUUACUGGGCGUAAAGCGCGCGCAGGCGGCACUGUAAGUAAGGUGUGAAAUCUCCCUGCUCAACGGGGAGGGUGCACUUUAGACUGCAGAGCUAGAGGACGGUAGAGGGGGGUGGAAUUGCUGGUGUAGCGGUGAAAUGCGUAGAGAUCAGCAGGAACACCCGUGGCGAAGGCGGCCCCCUGGGCCGAACCUGACGCUGAGACGCGAAAGCUAGGGGAGCGAACAGG